AAAUUCCUUGUCGGGUAAGUUCCGACCUGCACGAAUGGCGUAACGACUUCCCCGCUGUCUCCAACAUAGACUCAGCGAAAUUGAAUUACCUGUCAAGAUGCAGGUUUCCCGCGGUUAGACGGAAAGACCCCGUGCACCUUUACUACAGCUUCACACUGGCAUUAGGCCGAACAUGUGCAGGAUAGGUGGUGGGCUUUGAAACUUCGACGCCAGUCGGAGUGGAGCCUCCCUUGAGAUACCACCCUUGUUCUGCUUGAUGUCUAACCGCGGUCCGUUAUCCGGAUCCGGGACCCUGUGUGGUGGGUAGUUUGACUGGGGUGGUCGCCUCCUAAAGCGUAACGGAGGCGCGCGAAGGUUGGCUCAGAGCGGUCGGAAAUCGCUCGUUGAGUGCAAUGGCAGAAGCCAGCCUGACUGCGAGACUGACAAGUCGA
rnacentral:rRNA from 12 species